rnacentral:rRNA from 1 species
GAUCCUGGCUCAGAAUCAACGCUGGCGGCGCGCUUAACACAUGCAAGUCGAACGAGAAAGGGGAGCAAUCCCUGAGUAAAGUGGCGUACGGGUGAGUAACACGUGGGUAAUCUACCUUUUGGUGGGGAAUAACGCUGGGAAACCGGCGCUAACACCGCAUAAGCCUGAGAAGGGAAAAGAGAAAUCUGCCGAAAGAGGAGCCCGCGGCUGAUUAGCUAGUUGGUGAGGUAAAGGCUCACCAAGGCAAUGAUCGGUAGCCGGCCUGAGAGGGCACACGGCCACACUGGCACUGAAACACGGGCCAGACUCCUACGGGAGGCAGCAGUGGGGAAUCUUGCACAAUGGGGGAAACCCUGAUGCAGCGACGCCGCGUGAGUGAUGAAGCCCUUCGGGGUGUAAAGCUCUUUCGGCAGGGACGAUAAUGACGGUACCUGAAGAAGAAGCUGCGGCUAACUACGUGCCAGCAGCCGCGGUAAUACGUAGGCAGCGAGCGUUGUUCGGAGUUACUGGGCGUAAAGAGUGCGUAGGCGGUUUUCUAAGUUUGGUGUGAAAUCUCCCGGCUCAACUGGGAGGGUGCGCCGAAGACUGGAAGGCUAGAGUAUGGGAGAGGUAAGCGGAAUUCCUGGUGUAGCGGUGAAAUGCGUAGAUAUCAGGAGGAACACCUGCGGUGUAGACGGCUUACUGGACCAG